UGAGGAAUAUUGGUCAAUGGACGAGAGUCUGAACCAGCCAAGUAGCGUGCAGGAUGACGGCCCUAUGGGUUGUAAACUGCUUUUGUUUGGGAAUAAUCGACAUUACGUGUAAUGUUUUGCAUGUACCAUUCGAAUAAGGACCGGCUAAUUCCGUGCCAGCAGCCGCGGUAAUACGGAAGGUCCAGGCGUUAUCCGGAUUUAUUGGGUUUAAAGGGAGUGUAGGCGGUUGGUUAAGCGUGUUGUGAAAUGUAGAUGCUCAACAUCUGACUUGCAGCGCGAACUGGCUGACUUGAGUACACACAACGUAGGCGGAAUUCAUGGUGUAGCGGUGGAAUGCUUAGAUAUCAUGAAGAACUCCGAUUGCGAAGGCAGCUUACAGGAGUGUUACUGACGCUUAAGCUCGAAGGUGCGGGUAUCGAACAGG
rnacentral:rRNA from 1 species